rnacentral:rRNA from 1 species
AUUGAACGCUGGCGGCAUGCCUUACACAUGCAAGUCGAACGGUAACGGGCCUUCGGGUGCCGACGAGUGGCGAACGGGUGAGUAAUGCAUCGGAACGUACCUUUCAGUGGGGGAUAACGUAGCGAAAGUUACGCUAAUACCGCAUAUUCUGUGAGCAGGAAAGCAGGGGAUCGCAAGACCUUGCGCUGAUUGAGCGGCCGAUGUCAGAUUAGCUAGUUGGUGAGGUAAAAGGCUCACCAAGGCGACGAUCUGUAGCGGGUCUGAGAGGAUGAUCCGCCACACUGGAACUGAGACACGGUCCAGACUCCUACGGAGGCAGCAGUGGGGAAUUUUGGACAAUGGGGGCAACCCUGAUCCAG